rnacentral:rRNA from 1 species
UGGGGAAUAUUGGACAAUGGGCGCAAGCCUGAUCCAGCCAUGCCGCGUGAACGAUGAAGGCCUUAGGGUUGUAAAGUUCUUUUGUCAGGGAAGAUAAUGACGGUACCUGAAGAAUAAGCACCGGCUAACUCCGUGCCAGCAGCCGCGGUAAUACGAAGGGUGCUAGCGUUGUUCGGAAUCACUGGGCGUAAAGCGCGCGUAGGCGGCUUAACAAGUCAGAGGUGAAAGCCUGGAGCUCAACUCCAGAACUGCCUUUGAAACUGUUAAGCUUGAGUGUCGGAGGGGAUAGCGGAAUUUCUAAUGUAGAGGUGAAAUUCGUAGAUAUUAGAAGGAACACCGGUGGCGAAGGCGGCUAUCUGGACGACAACUGACGCUGAGGCGCGAAAGCGUGGGGAUCAAACAGGAUUAGAUACCCUCGUAGUCCCUGAGCGGGCUGGCAAGGCGCAU